UUUAUAAAUAAGAUGUUGUUUAUUACUGCUUAUGUGAGAUAUUUGUCAUUAGAAUGUCUUCUUUUGGAUAAUACUGUUUGCAGUUUGCAGUUAUCCCUUUCCUGCUAGGGCUAAGUUACAUUGGGCCCCAGAGAGGGUGGAAAGGUUAGUCUUAUCUGUGAAUGUGUCUGUAAACUAUUCCUAAACCAUGUGAAGGGAUGGUGUGAUAAAUGGGGAAUCAGAUUGGUGGCUUUCUUUGUAUAAUGUUCUUAAGAUCUGUUAUUUGUCAUGUCGUCUAGGGGGGUGGAUCUUUGCUCUCAGUUGCCAUUAUGUUGACACUCUCAGAGAAUUCAUUUAUCAAUUCACUGAAUUGAUCUGAGAGUCACAGGGUUGUGAUGGAGCUCAUAUAAUUAAAGAUGGACUUUAUGAUAACUCUGACUUGUGUGUGGUUUGCUCUCUCAAGAUUUGGUAAUACAGGAAAUGUCCACUACAUUUGGCGAUGAGGAUGGAAUGUGAACCUUCACUCGGUGACUGUUCCUGACGAUCUAGGUAAAUAAAUCGUGCACGAGGAAUCCCCCAAACUUGGGAUCUUAGGGAAACCACACUUCGGGAACGAAGCAGAUGGACCAACCUUUGAUCUGAGAGGAAGAGAGCCGAGUGGAUACCACAUCUCGGACUGAGUUUUUUUUUAAAGAAAAAGGUCUGACCAGUUCUGUGUGAACAUCUGACCAAUCCUGUGUUGGUGAUCCUUAAAGUUCUGUAAAUAGGAUACAUUUCAUAAGUGUGAAGAGCAAAAAGAAGAGGACGUUAUAAAGUUUGGUUUUUAAUCUUACGAGAGAGGUAAGGAAAAAUGUUGAAAUGAGAGGGGUUAUAUAUUUUUGCCCACUGGGAAAAAAGGAAUAGGAUAUGUUGAGCUGAGUAAGGAAGAGAGUUAGUUGCUGUGUUGCCUACUAAUUUUCAGGGUAAAUUGCUAGAGGCAGGUAGACUGUUGUAGAAUAACGUAAAACUGCGUCAUUACGUUGAAUAUACAAUAACAUUACUCAAAUUGUUUUGACCGUUGUUCAGGUACACUAAUUUUUGUACUUUUGGCAGUACAAUUUUGAUUGAGAGAUGUUGAUUGCUGUUGUAAGUUCUGUUCAAGAUCAAACAUUUGUGACCAACUAUGUUCAUUGGGCUAUAUUUGGCUGUAAGAAAGGGAGAUCUGAAUGUUUGAAUCGUAAAACAUUGUGAUAAUGGAUUCUGAUGGUUAUUGAUUCUUGGUUUGAUUGUUUAAGUAACACCAGUUAAUUCGAGCAGGAAAGUUAAUGUAGUCUAACAUUAUAAUCUGUUUCCAUUAUGUGGAAGAAUGUCAGGGUAUUAAUGUUGAAAAGCAACCUCUAUAGUAAAAAACAAUUGCAUAUGUUUUGGGAAAUUAGCUAGGUUGAAUUUGGUUAUUUGUGCUUUUCAACUGAUACUUAGACAUCUGUCUCAGGGGCAUCAGUUGUUGUUGUUUUUUAAAACAUGCAGACUGUGUUUUAUUUUAUUGAGAUGUAAACAUGAGUCUCUGAGUAAUUUUGUCAUCUGAACCAUUAUAGUAGUGAGUUCUUGUGUAGUUUGUUUUUGCUGAUUAAAGUGGUUUGUUUAUUUGGUUACUGUUUAUUGUUUAUUUUAGGAGUUGAUUUAACUUAAUUAAACAUUGUAUUCUGAUGUGUUUGAGUAGGAUUCUUUAUUCCGGGAUGGAAGGAAGUUAUCUAAAUAUGUAAGUUGAAGGAGCCAUGGGAGAACACGUCUACAUUUUUAUUAAAUGCCUGGGAUUAAAUGACUGAUUUCUUACGCUGAGAAAUGUACUACGUUUG